GACGAACGCUGGCGGCGUGCUUAACACAUGCAAGUCGAACGGAAAGGCCCCCACUUUUUUGGUGGGGGUGCGCGAGUGGCGAACGGGUGAGUAACACGUGGGUGAUCUGCCCUGUACUUCGGGAUAAGCUUGGGAAACUGGGUCUAAUACCGGAUAGGACCAUGGUUUAGUGUCUCAUGGUGGAAAAAUUAUUGUUUUGGUGCAGGAUGAGCUCGCGGCCUAUCAGCUUGUUGGUGGGGUAAUGGCCUACCAAGGCGUCGACGGGUAGCCGGCCUGAGAGGGUGGACGGCCACAUUGGGACUGAGAUACGGCCCAGACUCCUACGGGAGGCAGCAGUGGGGAAUAUUGCACAAUGGGCGCAAGCCUGAUGCAGCGACGCCGCGUGGGGGAUGACGGCCUUCGGGUUGUAAACUCCUUUCGUUAGGGACGAAGCCGCACCUUUUUUGGGUGUGGUGACGGUACCUUUGUUAAGAAGCACCGGCUAACUACGUG
rnacentral:rRNA from 1 species